rnacentral:misc_RNA from 1 species
GAUGAAGAACGUAGCGAAAUGCGAUACGUAGUGUGAAUUGCAGAAUUCAGUGAAUCAUCGAAUCUUUGAACGCACAUUGCACCUCUCGGUAUUCCGGGAGGUAUGCCUGUUCGAGCGUCAUUUGUACCCUCAAGCUCUGCUUGGUGUUGGGUGUUUGUUCCGCCUCUGUGUGUGAACUCGCCUCAAAACGAUUGGCAGCCGGCGUACUUGUUUCGGAGCGCAGCACAUUUUGCGAUCCAGAUCAACGUACAGCGGCAUCCAAGAAGCCUUAUUUAACGCUCUUGACCUCGGAUCAGGUAGGGAUACCCGCUGAACUUAAGCAUAUCAAUAAGCGGAGGA